GAAAAUGGAUUUAGCUCUAUAACCCUUUGUGACAUACCUAUAACUGUUGCUUCGGCGGGUAGGGUCUCCGUGACCCUCCCGGCCUCCCGCCCCCGGGCGGGUCGGCGCCCGCCGGAGGAUAACCAAACUCUGAUUUAACGACGUUUCUUCUGAGUGGUACAAGCAAAUAAUCAAAACUUUUAACAACGGAUCUCUUGGUUCUGGCAUCGAUGAAGAACGCAGCGAAAUGCGAUAAGUAAUGUGAAUUGCAGAAUUCAGUGAAUCAUCGAAUCUUUGAACGCACAUUGCGCCCGCCAGCAUUCUGGCGGGCAUGCCUGUUCGAGCGUCAUUUCAACCCUCAAGCUCUGCUUGGUGUUGGGGCCCUACAGCUGAUGUAGGCCCUCAAAGGUAGUGGCGGACCCUCCCGGAGCCUCCUUUGCGUAGUAACUUUACGUCUCGCACUGGGAUCCGGAGGGACUCUUGCCGUAAAACCCCCAAUUUUCCAAAGGUUGACCUCGGAUCAGGUAGGAAUACCCGCUGAACUUAAGCAUAUCAAUAAGCGGAGGAA
rnacentral:rRNA from 1 species